AAACGUAGGGGGCGAGCGUUGUCCGGAAUUACUGGGCGUAAAGGGCGCGUAGGCGGUUUCUUAAGUCUCAAGGUGAAAACUAUCGGCUUAACCGGUAGCCUGCCUGAGAAACUGAGGGACUUGAGGGCAGGAGAGGGGAGUGGAAUUCCCAGUGUAGCGGUGAAAUGCGUAGAUAUUGGGAGGAACACCGGUGGCGAAGGCGGCUCUCUGGCCUGUUACUGACGCUGAGGCGCGAAAGCGUGGGGAGCGAACGGGAUUAGAUACCCCGGUAGUCCACGCCGUAAACGAUGGGUGCUAGGUGUAGGAGGUAUCGACCCCUUCUGUGCCGUAGUUAACACAAUAAGCACCCCGCCUGGGGAGUACGGCCGCAAGGUUGAA
rnacentral:rRNA from 1 species